rnacentral:rRNA from 1 species
CCUACGGGUGGCAGCAGUGGGGAAUAUUGGGCAAUGGAGGCAAGUCUGACCCAGCAACGCCGCGUGAAUGAUGAAGGUCUUCGGAUUGUAAAGUUCUGUGAUGGGGGAUGAACACAAUGACGGUACCGCAAUAGCAAGCCAAGGCUAACUACGUGCCAGCAGCCGCGGCAAUACGUAGGUGGCAAGCGUUAUCCGGAAUGUAUGGGCGUAAAGGGUGAGUAGGUGGUUUAGUAAGUUGGAGGGGUAAUUCCGGGGCUCAACCUCGUGGGUACCGCCAAAACUAUUAGACUAGAGUGCAGGAGGGGUAAGUGGAAUUCCUAGUGUAGCGGUGGAAUGCGUAGAUAUUAGGAGGAACAUCAGGGGCGAAGGCGACUUACUGGACUGUAACUGACACUGAGGCACGAAAGCGUGGGGAGCAAACAGGAUUAGAUACCCGGGUAGUC